AACGCGAAGAACCUUACCAACCCUUGACAUGCCUGGACAAUCCGAGAGAUCGGACUUUCCUUCGGGACCAGUGCACAGGUGCUGCAUGGCUGUCGUCAGCUCGUGUCGUGAGAUGUUCGGUUAAGUCCGGCAACGAGCGCAACCCACAUCUUUAGUUGCCAGCAGGUUAAGCUGGGCACUCUAGAGAAACUGCCCGUGAUAAGCGGGAGGAAGGUGUGGAUGACGUCAAGUCCUCAUGGCCCUUACGGGUUGGGCUACACACGUGCUACAAUGGCAGUGACAAUGGGUUAAUCCCAAAAAGCUGUCUCAGCUCGGAUUGGGGUCUGCAACUCGACCCCAUGAAGUCGGAAUCGCUAGUAAUCGCGUAACAGCAUGACGCGGUGAAUACGUUCCCGGGUCUUGUACACACCGAAU
rnacentral:rRNA from 1 species